GUUGUAUGGUCAAGUAAUGAAGUGCACAUGGUGGAUGCCUUGGCAGUCAGAGGCGAUGAAAGACGUGAUAGCCUGCGAUAAGCGUCGGUGAGGUGGCAAUAUCCUGUGACCCGGCGAUUUCUGAAUGGGGAAACCCACCUAAGAUAACUUAGGUAUCAUAAUGUAUUUUAUGAGGCGAACCGGGAGAAGUGAAACAUCUCAGUACCCCGAGGAAAAGACAUCAAUUGAGAUUCCCUAAGUAGCGGCGAGCGAACGGGGAGUAGCCGAUCAAUUUUACAGUAGCAAAAUGGCGUGGGAAAGCCAACCGUAGUAGGUGAUAGUCCUGUAUGCGAAACUGUUUAAGCGACAUAUUAAGUAGGGCGAGACACGUGAAAUCUUGUCUGAAGAUGGGGGGACCAUCCUCCAAGGCUAAAUACUCCUGACUGACCGAUAGUGAACCAGUACCGUGAGGGAAAGGCGAAAAGAACCCCUGUUAGGGGAGUGAAAUAGAACCUGAAACCGUGUGCAUACAAGCAGUGGGAGCGGAUUUAUUCCGUGACCGCGUACCUUUUGUAUAAUGGGUCAGCGACUUAUAUUCUGUAGCAAGCUUAACCGUGUAGGGGAGGCGUAGGGAAACCGAGUCUUAAUAGGGCGAUUAAGUUGCAGGGUAUAGACCCGAAACCGAGUGAUCUAUCCAUGAGCAGGUUGAAAGUGCCGUAACAGGCACCGGAGGACCGAACCCACUGUCGUUGAAAAGCCAGGGGAUGACUUGUGGAUAGGGGUGAAAGGCUAAUCAAACUCGGUGAUAGCUGGUUCUCCCCGAAAGCUAUUUAGGUAGCGCCUCGGACGAAUACCAUUGGGGGUAGAGCACUGUUUCGGCUAGGGGGUCAUCCCGACUUACCAAACCGAUGCAAACUCCGAAUACCGAUGAGUACUAUCCGGGAGACAGACGGCGGGUGCUAACGUCCGUCGUCAAGAGGGAAACAACCCAGACCGCCAGCUAAGGCCCCAAAUUCCUAGUUAAGUGGGAAACGAUGUGGGAAGGCAUAGACAGCUAGGAGGUUGGCUUAGAAGCAGCCACCCUUUAAAGAAAGCGUAAUAGCUCACUAGUCGAGUCGGCCUGCGCGGAAGAUGUAACGGGGCUCAAACUAGGAGCCGAAGCUGCGGAUUUAAUUGUUUCAAUUAAGUGGUAGGGGAGCGUUGUGUAAGCCUGUGAAGGUGUGCUGUAAGGCAUGCUGGAGGUAUCACAAGAGCGAAUGCUGACGUGAGUAACGACAAAACGGGUGAAAAGCCCGUUCGCCGGAAGACCAAGGGUUCCAGUCCAACGUUAAUCGGGGCUGGGUGAGUCGACCCCUAAGGCGAGGCCGAAAGGCGUAGUCGAUGGGAAAUCGGUUAAUAUUCCGAUACUUGUUUAUGAUGCGAUGGAGGGACGGAGAAGGUUAUGUCAGCCUGGCGUUGGUUGUCCAGGUGGAAGGAUGUAGGUAGGUUUAGUAGGCAAAUCCGCUAAACUAUUACUGAGAUCUGAUAGCAAGCUGUACAUGUACAGCGAAGUGGCAAAUACCAUGCUUCCAGGAAAAGCUUCUAAGCGAUAGUCUUAAACAAAUCGUACCCGAAACCGACACAGGUGGUCAGGUAGAGAAUACCAAGGCGCUUGAGAGAACUCUGCUGAAGGAACUAGGCAAAAUGGUACCGUAACUUCGGGAGAAGGUACGCUGCCGAUGGUGAUUAAACUUGCUUUAUGAGCUGUUGGCAGUCGCAGAUACCAGGCUGCUGCAACUGUUUAUUAAAAACACAGCACUCUGCAAACACGAAAGUGGACGUAUAGGGUGUGAUGCCUGCCCGGUGCUGGAAGGUUAAUUGAUGGGGUUAGCGUAUGCGAAGCUCUUGAUCGAAGCCCCAGUAAACGGCGGCCGUAACUAUAACGGUCCUAAGGUAGCGAAAUUCCUUGUCGGGUAAGUUCCGACCUGCACGAAUGGCAUAAUGAUGGCAGCGCUGUCUCCAGCAGAGACUCAGUGAAAUCGAAAUCGCAGUGAAGAUGCUGUGUACCCGCGGCUAGACGGAAAGACCCCGUGAACCUUUACUACAGCUUUACAUUGAACUUUGACCUAACUUGUGUAG
rnacentral:rRNA from 1 species